CAUUUUGGUAUUGAUUUCAAUGGAGCUGGGGCUCUGGAUUUAGUGUGUGAAUGCCAGGCUACAGAUCUUAAAGUCUGAACAGAGACUCGUCUGAACAGGAAUGGACAGUGUAAUUCUGGAAAAUCUGAAGCAUGCUUUAUGAGUAAAUGUUGACUUCUUAAAAGUAGGACUGAGUUUACAUAGGUUUCAUCAGGUGGUGGAAUACCAAUGCCAUGAGUAAGCACUGCACAACAGACGUUAAAGAACAGCAGGAGAGCUGAGAUAAACACACCUGGUAGUGCUUCUGCUCUUCACUGAAAGCAACCAGAAUCACUGAAAUGAAGAGAUUCAGGACCACAAACGUCAUGAAAACGAUGCAGGAUCCAAUUAAGAGGGAGCCUAAAAUCGGAUUGUAGUCCAAGAUCUGUAGGAUUAAUAAGAAGUGCACUCUGCAGAUUUUCAACUGUAUUCAGGAGCUGGUGGGACACCAAACUCUGGACAAGGAUUAGAGGAGGGAACGUCUAACAGAGCUGCUCAGAAUCAGACUGUUUGUUCCAAGCAGUUUAAGGGAUGCAA
ensembl:lncRNA